rnacentral:snRNA from 1 species
GCACUGAGGACAAUCUGGCUGUGGCAUCAGUCACCCCACUGAUCACCAGAAUUGACUCAGCUGAUCAAGCUAGCUAGAUGGGUGUCCCCUUCCUGCCUCACCCUUACAUGUGUGUCUCUACCAAAACUGCUCUCCAUCAAGGAGGACAACCUUGCCUGAAUACAGGAGGACUGUUCUUCAGGCAAGGGUGUAGAGUAGCUGUGCUCCCCUGUGGGAACCUCCAAACAAGGUCUCCUAAAGGUACUACCAUCUUUUUUUUUAAUUAUUUAUUUUAGAAAGAGGCAGAGAGAGAGAGAGAAAGAAUGGUCACACCACUGCAAACAAACUCCAAAUGCAUGUGCCACCUUGUGC